UACGUAGGGUGCAAGCGUUGUCCGGAAUUAUUGGGCGUAAAGAGCUCGUAGGCGGUUUGUCGCGUCUGCUGUGAAAACUCGGGGCUUAACCCCGGGCCUGCAGUGGGUACGGGCAGACUAGAGUGCGGUAGGGGAGACUGGAAUUCCUGGUGUAGCGGUGAAAUGCGCAGAUAUCAGGAGGAACACCGGUGGCGAAAGCACGUUGCUAGGCUGAUUCUGACACUGAGGGACGAAAGCCAGGGGAGCGAAAGGG
rnacentral:rRNA from 1 species